AUUGAACGCUGGCGGCGGGCCUAACACAUGCAAGUCGGACGGUAGCACAGAGAGCUUGCUCCUGGGUGACGAGUGGCGGACGGGUGAGUAAUGUCUGGGGAUCUGCCCGAUAGAGGGGGGUAACCACUGGAAACGGUGGCUAAUACCGCAUAACGUCGCAAGACCAAAGAGGGGGACCUUCGGGCCUCUCACUAUCGGAUGAACCCAGAUGGGAUUAGCUAGUAGGCGGGGUAAUGGCCCACCUAGGCGACGAUCCCUAGCUGGUCUGAGAGGAUGACCAGCCACACUGGAACUGAGACACGGUCCAGACUCCUACUGGAGGCAGCAGUGGGGAAUAUUGCACAAUGGGCGCAAGCCUGAUGCAGCCAUGCCGCGUGUAUGAAGAAGGCCUUCGGGUUGUAAAGUACUUUCAGCGGGGAGGAAGGCGGUGAGGUUAAUAACCUUGCCGAUUGACGUUACCCGCAGAAGAAGCACCGGCUAACUCCGUGCCAGCCGCCGCAGUAA
rnacentral:rRNA from 1 species